UACGUAGGGUGCAAGCGUUGUCCGGAAUUACUGGGCGUAAAGCGCACGUAGGCGGAUUGUUAAGUGAGGGGUGAAAUCCCAGGGCUCAACCCUGGAACUGCCUCUCAUACUGGCAAUCUCGAGUUCGAGAGAGGUGAGUGGAAUUGACGAGUGUAGAGGUGAAAUUCGUAGAUAUUCGCAGGAACACCAGUGGCGAAGGCGGCUCACUGGCUCGAUACUGACGCUGAGGUGCGAAAGCGUGGGGAGCAAACAGG
rnacentral:rRNA from 1 species